AUAGCCCAAAAUUUUAGUAGAGAGUUUGGCCCAAAUGAAACCCUAAGGUCUCCAGCGGCUGCGGUUGCCUCCCUGCUCGUGCGUCCCGUACUCCAUCCGCUCGUCACUAGUCUGCGCCCAGCCAGUCGACCAGGCGUCCAGUCCAGCCGUCCAACGGUCUAGCCGUCCGCUCGUGCUCGUCCAUGCCCAGCUAGAGCCAGUUUUCUCCCCGUCCGGCCGUUUGUCCAGCAGCCGUGUCUAGAGGCUAGAGGCCCGAGCAGCAGAGCCUCCCCGUCCGGCCGUCAGGCCGUGCGUGACGUGCGUGAGUUGCGUCCAGCAGUUCCAGCACUGUCUCCACUCUCCAGCCAGCUAGCCAGGCGUCCAGCAAGCUAGUCGCUAGCCCGCUAGCCAAUCCUAGACUCCUAGUUACUGUCAAGAACAGGUACCGCAAGAUGAGGCGCAUGAAGGAUGCUAUGAUGAGUUCGUGAGUGGUCUAGACCGUCGUCUCCCAGUCAACUAUGGUUGCUGGAUCGUUGUCUUCGUAUGAUGUAAUUAUUUAAAUAUUUUUUGUACAGAACUCCGUUAUAUAUUAAUGAUGUGACAUUC